CCGAUACUUUUAAUACAAUAUUUUUGCCGGUGCGCAAUUUUCCCCAAAUUAUUUCGUCUGACUUUUUGGACCAAAACCUAAUUCUCAAUUGGUGGUAAGCUGAUAUUUUGAUAUUCCCUUUCUUGCUGGCUUUGCUUCUUCCAAUGAUUUAUGAUUUGAAUAACUAGGUGGGAGCAUAGUGAAGGCAAGAGUAACAGUUGGCACGGCAAUAUUUUGGUUUCUAUAGAGGUCAUUAAAGUUUAUGACACUGUUUUGUUGUGCAUUGAAAUUAAACGUUUUGUAGAUAAUUUUCUUCUAUAAACGGGUUUUGGGGAAAUUAUAUGAUAACUUAUUUGUAAAUGAUUUGUUUUAGUUUGCAUAAGAACCAUGUCUUACUGCAUUUAAUGUAUAGGUAUGGGGUUGAGUAGACCCUUGAGCACAAAGGUGAUUAAUUGAGAUACUCGAUUUGGUGUAUCCAGUAAUCUAUUGGGCAGGUGGAAGCAGUCUUUGUAUAGAGAUGAGGUGUUUCGUGCCACUUUGAUGGAAACACAAUGUAGUUCUCUCCACUGUGAUUCACUAAACUCGUCGAGGUUUUACGGGGCCUGUUUGGAUACUUGGAGAUUCAUUUCCUGAGGAGAUGUCUAUCUUGGAAUUAGCAUCUACAGAAUUGGCAUCUUGUGGAAUAUGGGUAUCCGUUACAGGGAAGGUUUCUAUACUUCCCCUACAGCAUAGAUCUAUGCUUCCC
rnacentral:lncRNA from 1 species